rnacentral:misc_RNA from 1 species
GAUGAAGAACGUAGCGAAAUGCGAUAAGUAGUGUGAAUUGCAGAAUUCAGUGAAUCAUCGAAUCUUUGAACGCACAUUGCGCCCCUUGGUAUUCCAUGGGGCAUGCCUGUUCGAGCAUCAUUUGUACCUUCAAGCUCUGCUUGGUGUUGGGUGUUUGUCUCGCCUCUGCGUGUAGACUCGCCUCAAAACAAUUGGCAGCCGGCGUAUUGAUUUCGGAGCGCAGUACAUCUCGCGCUUUGCACUCAUAACGACGACGUCCAAAAGUACAUUUUUACACUCUUGACCUCGGAUCAGGUAGGGAUACCCGCUGAACUUAAGCAUAUCAAUAAGCGGAGGA